rnacentral:rRNA from 1 species
GAUGAACGCUGGCGGCGUGCCUAACACAUGCAAGUCGAGCGGCAGCGAGGUGUGCUUGCACCCUGUCGGCGAGCGGCGGACGGCUGAGUAACGCGUGGGAACGUGCCCCAAAGUGAGGAAUAACUGCCCGAAAGGGUAGCUAAUACCGCAUAUUAUCUUCGGAUCAAAGGAUUUAUCCGCUUUGGGAGCGGCUCGCGUCGGAUUAGGUAGUUGGUGAGGUAAUGGCUCACCAAGCCGACGAUCCGUAGCUGGUCUGAGAGGAUGACCAGCCAGACUGGAACUGAGACACGGUCCAGACUCCUACGGGAGGCAGCAGUGAGGAAUCUUCCACAAUGGGCGAAAGCCUGAUGGAGCAACGCCGCGUGCAGGACGAAGGCCUUCGGGUUGUAAACUGCUUUUAUAAGUGAGGAAUAUGACGGUAACUUAUGAAUAAGGAUCGGCUAACUACGUG